rnacentral:lncRNA from 1 species
UCCUUUCAAACGCCCCACCCACUGGCCGUAAGGGACAGUAGCCAGAGUGAGGGCCGCUGCCAAUACGCUCAUUCAUGUCUUGGAUGGGUCGACCCUCAACCCCGGGCUCAACAUGUGCCGCUUCCCAAUGAAGAAUAGACCAUAUAAUCAAAUAGAGACUCCAUCUCAGGCUCAAGAACCAAAACGCAGAAAUAAUAAAAAAAAAGGGGUCAAACUUCGGCCACAAAUCUCUCUCCAAUUCUCCAGAUAAUCAAGAGUGUAUAUCAUAGGAAAAGCGGGAGGGGCAGAUCCUCUACCUUGCUUGGUCUCUCAUUUUUGGUUGGCAUUCACAGCUCUCCAAAAAUGAGUCGCAUUACUGUAAGAGUGUUUCUUUACGUUCCACCAAAACCAGUAAGUCUCAGUUGCUAAUGUGGGACCACGAAUUUGCUCACCCCAGUCAUAUCAAAGCAACUUGACUAGGCUGCCUUCACAUGACUGUCCUCCCAUGCCUCACGUCUCCCAUAAGGCCCAACUUCCUC